UUAAAUCUAAAAAUAAAUUCGGUCGAAUAUUCUAAAAUAUUCGCUCACGCGAUAGGAUUUCGAGCUAAUUUUGACCUGAUAAAAUCAAAAAAACCAAAACAAAUGGAGUUCAAUAACGAAAUUAACUCACAUUUUCAUCCAGAUCAAAUUCGCGAAGUGAUAAAACAUUUGUUUCACUCUUACGGCUGGAACGGAACGGCGUGUGUGAUUCGAACUAUGUGUGAAAUUUCUCAGAUUCCAGUAUACUCGUACGAUGUGUUAGGCCCAUUAAUGAAAUUAGCAUUUUUUGGAUCGAUGGAAUCGCCGGAGAUUACGAAGAGUGAUUGUCAGGAUGCUGUAAAUUGUCCUAUUUCCAUUCUACAUUUGCUCACACACGAUGAUUUAUAGCUACAUAUGUAUAAGACGAUUCGUUGAAAAUUUUGAUACACAAGCCCUGUGAAUUUAUUACCUACAUAAAUAAUUGUUUAUAGUGCCUACAGAUUGCUUCUUACAAAGAAGGUGGUGGUAGGUAUCCGAACUGGCAGAAAAAUUUUUGAACCGGACAAUGUGUUCGGGGUGUUUGAUUCAUAUGAAAACGACACCAAUAUUAUGAAAAUAGCUCAACCUUUGAUGCGGUAAAAAUUGAGGUGGGGGCAGAGGCACUGGAGGGGUGUGUAUGAGGGUAGCAUAAAAUUUGAAUUCGUAUUCGUGUUCAGGGAGUUCGAUUCAUAUGGAACGACACUUAUAUGAAAACAGCUCAACCUUUGAUACGCGGUAAAAAUUGAGGGGGGCAGAGGCACCGGAGGGGUGUGAAUGAGGGUUGCAUAAAAUUUGACUCCAUAUUCGUGUUUGGAGUGUUUGAUUCAUAUGAGAACGACACCAAUAUUAUUAUAUAGAUCAACUUUUAAUAUAGUAGUAAAAAUUGAGGUUGGAGCAGAGGUACUGGAGGGGUGUGGUUGAGGGUAGCAUAAAAUUGAGCGUCAUAUUCGUGUUCGGGGGGUUCCAUUCAUAUGGAAACGACACCUCGUUUACCAAAAACAAUAAUUUACACCGGAAUCCAUUUUUACCCCCUCUGUGAGUUUUUUCAAUUUUUGACCACGACCCACCAAAAAUUUUUUUUGAAAAAAAUAUGUUUUUUAGGGGUCAAAAACACACUUACCGAAUCAUGGUCAUCGCUAAAACAGGCAAACAAAGCUAAAAAAAACGCCAUUUCGAGGGGAAAAUAUGGGGGGAGGGGGGUGAAAAUUUUCGUGGGGAUACCUUUUAUGGAUGUUCACAACAUACCAAAAAAUUA